rnacentral:rRNA from 1 species
GAUGAACGCUGGCGGCGCGCCUAACACAUGCAAGUCGAACGGGAAUCGGGGCCUCCGGGCCCCGACGAGAGUGGCGAACGGCUGAGUAACACGUGGGCAACCUGCCCCCUCCACCGGGACAGCCUCGGGAAACCGUGGGUAAUACCGGAUACUCCGGGACGGCCGCAUGGCCGGCCCGGGAAAGCCCAGACGGGAGGGGAUGGGCCCGCGGCCUGUUAGCUAGUCGGCGGGGUAACGGCCCACCGAGGCGAUUAUGGGUAGCCGGGUUGAGAGACCGACCGGCCAGAUUGGGACUGAGACACGGCCCAGACUCCUACGGGAGGCAGCAGUGGGGAAUCUUGCGCAAUGGGCGAAAGCCUGACGCAGCGACGCCGCGUGCGGGACGAAGGCCUUCGGGUCGUAAACCGCUUUCAGCAGGGACGAGGCCCUCUGGGUGACGGUACCUGCAGAAGAAGCCCCGGCUAACUACGUGCCAGCAG